GAUUUAUUCUACUCAAGCAGUCAGUGGAUGCCUUGGGAGUGUGUGCCGAAGAAGGACGUUUCAAGCCGGCGAAAGUCGACGGGGAGGUGGCUAAGAACUGUUAAUCCGUCGGUGUCCGAAUGGGGAAACCCACCCCGCUCAGCGGGGGGUUCUCGCCUUGUGCGAGAUCGGGAACUUGGGGAACUGAAAUAUCUAAGUACCCAGAGGAAAAAAAAUCGAAUGAGAGGCCCUUAGUAAGCGACGAGCGAAAAGGGCUGUAGUCCAAACCACGAUUUAUCGUGGGGUUGUAGGGUCAGACAUACGCUUUAGAAAAGAUAACAGAACACUGUGGAAUAGGUGACCAAAGAGAGUGAGAGUCUCGUAAGUGAAAUUUUUUCUAAAGUAGUUUGAUACCUGAGUACUUCUAGAGACGGCAAACUCUAGAUCGAAUCCGGGCCGACCACGGUCCAAGACUAUAUACGCACACUCACCGAUAGUGAACUAGUACCGCGAGGGAAAGGUGAAAAGAAGGGUCUGAAACCCAAUGAAAAGUACCUGAAACUGAUUGCUAACAAACAGACGGAGCCCCGCUCAGCGGGGUGACGUCGUGCCUAUUGAAGAAUGAACCGGCGAGUUACUCCAUACAGCAAGGUUAAACCGCUACGCGGUGGAGCCGAAGGGAAACCGAGUCUUAACAGGGCGUUAAGUUGUAUGAGGUAGACCCGAAACCAGGUGAGCUAACCAUGAGCAGGGUGAAGGUUCGAGAAAUCGAAUUGGAGGCCCGAACAGGUGAAUGUCGCAAAAUUCUCUGAUGACUUGUGGUUAGAGGUAAUAUGCCUAACGAACUUGGAGAUAGCUGGUUCUCCCCGAAACAUGUCUUGGCAUGGCCUCUUGAUUUAAGAACAGGGGGGUAAAGCACUGAAUUGAUUCCAGGAGUAAAAUCUUGGAACCAAACCAAACUCAGAAUACCCUGUUUAUAUGCAAGGGAGUCAGUACCCGGGGGCUAAGCUCCGGGGGCAAAAGGGAAACAUCCCAGACCCUCAAUUAAGGUCUCUAAAUCUAUAUUAAGUGGUAAAGGACGCGUUAUUUCUCAGACACCUAGGAGGUCGGCUCAGAAGCAGCCAUCCUUGAAAGAAAGCGUAACAGCUCACUAGCCGAGAGAUACGUGACCGAAGAUGUAACGAGGCUCAAAUAUAGUACCGAAAUUAGGGAUUCCGAUUUAUCGGGAUGGUAGGGGAGCGUUCUUGUGGCUUUGAAGGUGAACUGUAAGGUUUGCUGGAGCAGCAAGAAGUGAGAAUGCCGGUAUGAGUAGCGUAAACAAGGUGAGAAUCCUUGUAGCCGAAUGUCCGAGGUUUCCAACG
rfam:Candidatus Collierbacteria bacterium RIFCSPHIGHO2_01_FTLL_50_25 rifcsphigho2_01_scaffold_22841, whole genome shotgun sequence.